rnacentral:rRNA from 1 species
GAUGAACGCUGACAGAAUGCUUAACACAUCAGCAAUUGAUUGGUGGCGGACGGGUGAGUAACGCGUAAAGAACUUGCCUCACAGCUAGGGACAACAUUUAGAAAUGAAUGCUAAUACCUGAUACUGUGAGAGAGCUUUGCGUCCUAUUAGCUAGUUGGAGAGGUAACAGCUCACCAAGGCGAGGAUGGGUAGCCGGCCUGAGAGGGUGAACGGCAACAAGAGGACUGAGGAACGGCCCUUACUCCUACGGGAGGCAGCAGUGGGGAAUAUUGGACAAUGGACCGAAGUCUGAUCCAGCAAUUCUGUGUGCACGAUGAAGUUUUCGGAAUGUAAAGUGCUUUCAGUUGAGAAGCGGUACCAACAGAAGAAGUGACGGCUAAAUACGUGCCAGCAGCCGCGGUAAUAC